GACUGGUCUGAAGGUAGUGAAUUACCUCAGUUGAAUGUUCACAGUCAGGUACAGAUCCAACUCCUUAUUCCACUCUUUUCCCUUCUCAUUACUGCACUUGAUUAGUCUUAA
rnacentral:Y_RNA from 1 species